rnacentral:misc_RNA from 1 species
CUAUGAAGCUCAUUUUGGAGUUCCCAUGGCUGGAGCUGUACUGAACUGUGUUAAUAUCCGUCUAAAUGCUCAAACAAUUUCAUUUCUUCUCGGUCACUCGUCAUCUGCAGUUGUUAUGGUGGAUCAAGAGUUUUUUCCCUUAGCAGAAGAAGCUUUGAAAAUCCUAGCUGAUAAGGGUGAUGGCCAUUACAAGCCACCACUUCUAAUUGUAAUUGGUGAUGAAAGCUGUGAUUCGGAGGGACUCAAAUAUGCUUUAUCAAAAGGUGCCGUUGAAUACGAGAAAUUCUUGGAAGCGGGCAAUCCUGACUAUGCUUGGAAACCACCGGAGGAUGAGUGGCAGAGCAUUACGCUUGGCUAUACUUCUGGUACAACUGCAAGUCCUAAAGGGGUGGUUUUAAGCCAUCGAGGGGCAUAUGUCAUGUCUUUGAGUGCAGGCUUAGUGUGGGGGAUGAAUGAAGGAGCUAUAUAUCUUUGGACUCUGCCAAUGUUCCAUUGCAAUGGUUGG